rnacentral:rRNA from 1 species
AGGACUAACGCUGGCGGCGUGCCUAACACAUGCAAGUCGAACGAGGUAGCAAUACCUAGUGGCAGACGGGUGAGUAACGCGUAGAUAAUGUGCCCUCUUGCGGGGGAUACCGUUUCGAAAGGAACGUUAAUACCGCAUAAUACGGUUCAGGGGAUUCCUUGAGCCGUCAAACUUCCGGGGCGGGAGGAGCAGUCUGCGUUCUAUCAGCUAGUUGGUGAGGUAAUGGCUCACCAAGGCUACGACGGAUAACUGGUCUGAGAGGAUGAUCAGUCACACUGGAACUGAGACACGGUCCAGACUCCUACGGGAGGCAGCAGUGAGGAAUAUUGCGCAAUGGGGGAAACCCUGACGCAGCGACGCCGCGUGGAGGAAGAAGGUUUCGGAUUGUAAACUCCUGUCAGUGGGAAGAGAAUGGACGGUACCCACUGAGGAAGCUUCGGCUAACUACGUGCCAGCAGCCGC